AAAUAGAAAGCAUUUCAAAGCUAAGGUUAUGGGUGGCAAUUUAUCCCUAACCGUAACUUUGAAGUGCUUUCUGUUU
ensembl:miRNA